rnacentral:rRNA from 1 species
CACUCCUACGGGAGGCAGCAGUGGGGAAUUUUGGACAAUGGGCGAAAGCCUGAUCCAGCCAUGCCGCGUGCAGGAUGAAGGCCUUCGGGUUGUAAACUGCUUUUGUACGGAACGAAACGGCCUUUUCUAAUAAAGAGGGCUAAUGACGGUACCGUAAGAAUAAGCACCGGCUAACUACGUGCCAGCAGCCGCGGUAAUACGUAGGGUGCAAGCGUUAAUCGGAAUUACUGGGCGUAAAGCGUGCGCAGGCGGUUAUGUAAGACAGUUGUGAAAUCCCCGGGCUCAACCUGGGAACUGCAUCUGUGACUGCAUAGCUAGAGUACGGUAGAGGGGGAUGGAAUUCCGCGUGUAGCAGUGAAAUGCGUAGAUAUGCGGAGGAACACCGAUGGCGAAGGCAAUCCCCUGGACCUGUACUGACGCUCAUGCACGAAAGCGUGGGGAGCAAACAGGAUUAGAUACCCUAGUAGUCCCA